CAUUGCCAAGGUUGGGUUGUAAUGGAAGUGCAGAAAGAACAAAGGACAGGCACCAGAAUGUUCUUUUAUUGCUUGCAUGACAAAGAGGAAAGAAAAAGAGAGGAAUGGGAUAGACCAGUGGUUCUCCAAGUGUGGUAGCUGAACCAGGUUCAUCCACGACACUAGGGAACUUAAUAGGACUGUAGAAUCUGAGGUCCCACCCCAGACCUACUAAAUCAGCAACUCUGAGGACCAGGGUCCGUCCAGCUUGUGGUUUAACAAGCCAGCCAGGUGAUUCCAAUAUCAGCUAAACUCUGCGAUCCACAGGGUGAUCCUGCCAUCCUGCAGUGAUGGAGAUUUUGCUCUCAUUGAGUCUGUCUGGAUUAUUUCUGGUUCAUGGACAAUCUGGUUUAUUCCUGUCUUCAUAUCAUCUGGACCUCUUUCCUGGUGCCUAUUUCCCAGGAUACUACCUCCAGUACAAUGUUGAAUAGAAGUGGUGAAAAAAGGAGAAAGAUUCUUAGGAGAACAAAUUCUUUCAUGGGAAGACACACCGUCAGAAAGUUAAGUUUUGACACAAGUACAAAACCUCGGACAGUGUCUUUGAAUAAUAAAGAGAAGAAAGAACAACUCUUCCUGGGGAUGCCUGUCCUAGUGUAAGCAGGUUACACGAGAAGACAAUUGUGUUUGAUGGUACAAGAACCUGAAUUCUGGAACCAGAUAGUCUCUGCUUGAAUUGAGAUUCUGUCACCAACAUGCUAUGUGACCGUGAGCAAAUAAUUUGACUUCCUGUGCCUCAGUUUCUUCCUCUAAAAUGUAGAUAAUGAUGAAUAAUAAUAGCUAUUGGUUGUUGAGUAUAAUAAAUAAUUCAGUGUAUACAAAGGUGUUUGCACAGUGCUUGGAAACACAGGUAAAGCCAUGUAAGGAUGGCUCUUGUAAUAGGAAAGCUAGGCCUUGAAAUGAGAGGUGACAGGUGCCAGGCAC
rnacentral:lncRNA from 10 species